rnacentral:rRNA from 1 species
UACGUAGGGGCCAAGCGUUGUCCGGAUUUAUUGGGCGUAAAGAGCUCGUAGGCGGUCUGUCGCGUCGGCUGUGAAAACUCGGGGCUCAACUCCGAGCUUGCAGUCGAUACGGGCAGGCUAGAGUUCGGCAGGGGAGACUGGAAUUCCUGGUGUAGCGGUGAAAUGCGUAGAUAUCUGGAGGAAUACCGGUGGCGAAGGCGGCAUCCUGGACCGACAUUGACGCUGAUGAGCGAAAGCUAGGGGAGCAAACGGG